UUAAGCGACUAAGCGUACACGGUGGAUGCCCUGGCAGUCAGAGGCGAUGAAGGACGUGCUAAUCUGCGAUAAGCGUCGGUAAGGUGAUAUGAACCGUUAUAACCGGCGAUUUCCGAAUGGGGAAACCCAGUGUGUUUCGACACACUAUCAUUAACUGAAUCCAUAGGUUAAUGAGGCGAACCGGGGGAACUGAAACAUCUAAGUACCCCGAGGAAAAGAAAUCAACCGAGAUUCCCCCAGUAGCGGCGAGCGAACGGGGAGCAGCCCAGAGCCUGAAUCAGUGUGUGUGUUAGUGGAAGCGUCUGGAAAGGCGCGCGAUACAGGGUGACAGCCCCGUACACAAAAAUGCACAUGCUGUGAGCUCGAUGAGUAGGGCGGGACACGUGGUAUCCUGUCUGAAUAUGGGGGGACCAUCCUCCAAGGCUAAAUACUCCUGACUGACCGAUAGUGAACCAGUACCGUGAGGGAAAGGCGAAAAGAACCCCGGCGAGGGGAGUGAAAAAGAACCUGAAACCGUGUACGUACAAGCAGUGGGAGCACGCUUAGGCGUGUGACUGCGUACCUUUUGUAUAAUGGGUCAGCGACUUAUAUUCUGUAGCAAGGUUAACCGAAUAGGGGAGCCGAAGGGAAACCGAGUCUUAACUGGGCGUUAAGUUGCAGGGUAUAGACCCGAAACCCGGUGAUCUAGCCAUGGGCAGGUUGAAGGUUGGGUAACACUAACUGGAGGACCGAACCGACUAAUGUUGAAAAAUUAGCGGAUGACUUGUGGCUGGGGGUGAAAGGCCAAUCAAACCGGGAGAUAGCUGGUUCUCCCCGAAAGCUAUUUAGGUAGCGCCUCGUGAAUUCAUCUCCGGGGGUAGAGCACUGUUUCGGCAAGGGGGUCAUCCCGACUUACCAACCCGAUGCAAACUGCGAAUACCGGAGAAUGUUAUCACGGGAGACACACGGCGGGUGCUAACGUCCGUCGUGAAGAGGGAAACAACCCAGACCGCCAGCUAAGGUCCCAAAGUCAUGGUUAAGUGGGAAACGAUGUGGGAAGGCCCAGACAGCCAGGAUGUUGGCUUAGAAGCAGCCAUCAUUUAAAGAAAGCGUAAUAGCUCACUGGUCGAGUCGGCCUGCGCGGAAGAUGUAACGGGGCUAAACCAUGCACCGAAGCUGCGGCAGCGACACUAUGUGUUGUUGGGUAGGGGAGCGUUCUGUAAGCCUGUGAAGGUGUACUGUGAGGUAUGCUGGAGGUAUCAGAAGUGCGAAUGCUGACAUAAGUAACGAUAAAGCGGGUGAAAAGCCCGCUCGCCGGAAGACCAAGGGUUCCUGUCCAACGUUAAUCGGGGCAGGGUGAGUCGACCCCUAAGGCGAGGCCGAAAGGCGUAGUCGAUGGGAAACAGGUUAAUAUUCCUGUACUUGGUGUUACUGCGAAGGGGGGACGGAGAAGGCUAUGUUGGCCGGGCGACGGUUGUCCCGGUUUAAGCGUGUAGGCUGGUUUUCCAGGCAAAUCCGGAAAAUCAAGGCUGAGGCGUGAUGACGAGGCACUACGGUGCUGAAGCAACAAAUGCCCUGCUUCCAGGAAAAGCCUCUAAGCAUCAGGUAACAUCAAAUCGUACCCCAAACCGACACAGGUGGUCAGGUAGAGAAUACCAAGGCGCUUGAGAGAACUCGGGUGAAGGAACUAGGCAAAAUGGUGCCGUAACUUCGGGAGAAGGCACGCUGAUAUGUAGGUGAAGUCCCUCGCGGAUGGAGCUGAAAUCAGUCGAAGAUACCAGCUGGCUGCAACUGUUUAUUAAAAACACAGCACUGUGCAAACACGAAAGUGGACGUAUACGGUGUGACGCCUGCCCGGUGCCGGAAGGUUAAUUGAUGGGGUUAGCCGCAAGGCGAAGCUCUUGAUCGAAGCCCCGGUAAACGGCGGCCGUAACUAUAACGGUCCUAAGGUAGCGAAAUUCCUUGUCGGGUAAGUUCCGACCUGCACGAAUGGCGUAAUGAUGGCCAGGCUGUCUCCACCCGAGACUCAGUGAAAUUGAACUCGCUGUGAAGAUGCAGUGUACCCGCGGCAAGACGGAAAGACCCCGUGAACCUUUACUAUAGCUUGACACUGAACAUUGAGCCUUGAUGUGUAGGAUAGGUGGGAGGCUUUGAAGUGUGGACGCCAGUCU
rnacentral:rRNA from 1 species